AUCUUUUUAGCUUCAGAUUGCAACCCUCGGUCACUGACAAAGCAUAUACCAAACCUGGCAUCCUCAAGAAAUGCCCCCCUAAUCUCCAUCAAAGAUAACAAAGGAGGGUCCAUAAGGUUAGGUGAAUUGGUGAGCCUAAAAACAGCUGUGGCUAUUGGAAUAAAGCAGAGGUCAGAGGAAGCAGUAUCAACACGACAGUAAAUGAACAUAUCUGAUGCCCUUUCUUAGUGUAGUGGGGGAGGUCACUUGUCCACUGUGUAGCUGGAGUAAUUUAUCAGAGUUUGACUAUUUAUCACAAUUUGAUUUUUGGACAGCAUAAAAGCAGGCUGCGUAAACACAACAUGGCACAAAGUAAAGAAAAACUCAGAAGCCACUCAAAGCAAACGCCAACCUCAGCCUGGCUCCUCAACAGUUCAUUAUCUCUCUUUUUCUUUCUUCUUUUUAUCUGUCCUCUUUCUAAUUAAAGGUAGUAUUUUAUUUGGUUUGUUUUAACCGAACAGGUCAAUUUCAAGCUGUUAAGAAUGAGACAAGCUUGGUGAUCUCCUAAAAAAUCUCCGCAGGAGCAUAGAGUUGGAAAAAGCUAGGAAAGGGGAGGAAUUGCCAGAUAAAAUUUGGAUGAAGG